AGAGGAUGAUCCGCCACACUGGGAAUGAGACACGGCCCAGACUCCUACGGGAGGCAGCAGUGGGGAAUUUUGGACAAUGGGCGCAAGCCUGAUCCAGCCAUGCCGCGUGUCUGAAGAAGGCCUUCGGGUUGUAAAGGACUUUUGUCAGGGAAGAAAAGGGCGGGGUUAAUACCCCUGUCUGAUGACGGUACCUGAAGAAUAAGCACCGGCUAACUACGUGCCAGCAGCCGCGGUAAUACGUAGGGUGCGAGCGUUAAUCGGAAUUACUGGGCGUAAAGCGGGCGCAGACGGUUACUUAAGCAGGAUGUGAAAUCCCCGGGCUCAACCUCGGAACUGCGUUCUGAACUGGGUGACUAGAGUGUGUCAGAGGGAGGUAGAAUUCCACGUGUAGCAGUGAAAUGCGUAGAGA
rnacentral:rRNA from 1 species